GUGGAUGAUUCACACUAAACAGCAAUUAGAGAGAAGGCAGGGCGAUUAGCGGGAAGGGGGGGAGCCCAGGGGGGAGCCGAAGGGGGGCGCGGAGGGAACAGGCUAGGCUGCCGCCGUCCGCUUAUUUAAACACCAGCUGUCACAGUCAGAGGACUGCUCUUCACUUCUCUUCUGUAUCCACUGUCUCUUUGACAAAGGUAGUUUUCAGUUAAAAAAAAAAAAAAAAAGAGUCAGGCCAGCUUGAAAAUGAGAGCAG